rnacentral:rRNA from 1 species
UACAGAGGUCUCAAGCGUUGUUCGGAUUCAUUGGGCGUAAAGGGUGCGUAGGCGGCGCGGUAAGUCGGGUGUGAAAUCUCGGAGCUUAACUCCGAAACUGCAUUCGAUACUGCCGUGCUUGAGGACUGGAGAGGAGACUGGAAUUUACGGUGUAGCGGUGAAAUGCGUAGAUAUCGUAAGGAAGACCAGUGGCAAAGGCGGGUCUCUGGACAGUUCCUGACGCUGAGGCACGAAGGUCAGGGGAGCAAACGGG